rnacentral:rRNA from 1 species
GGGGGGAGCAAGCGUUGUUCGGAAUCACUGGGCGUAAAGGGCGCGUAGGCGGCCGUGUAGGUCGCGUGUGAAAGGCCGGGGCUCAACCCCGUGUACUGCAUGCGAUACUGCAUGGCUUGAGAAAGGUAGAGGUGAGCGGAAUUCCCGGUGUAGCGGUGGAAUGCGUAGAUAUCGGGAAGAACACCAGUGGCGAAGGCGGCUCGCUGGGCCUUUUCUGACGCUGAAGCGCGAAAGCGUGGGGAGCAAACAGGGAUUAGAUACCCUGGUAGUCCACGCCGUAAACGCUGGGUACUAGGUGUUGGGAGGAUUGACCCCUUUCAGUGCCGACGCUAACGCAUUAAGUACCCCGCCUGGGGGAGUACGGCCGCAAGGCUG